rnacentral:sRNA from 1 species
CUCUCGAAAUUUCCUUUAAUUAACUUUGCAUUUCUCCCGUUCCGUUUACUAUUUUCAAUAUUUACAGUUAUUCUCGAAUGCUUCUUGCGUUAUUAUUGACUUUUAUAUUUUUUGCACCAGUCGAGUAUAAGUAUGAGGGGGGAGGGACUCGCGCUUCGAAUUUGUUUUCGAUCUGAUCCCGUUCCGAUCCGAUCCGUUGCGAUUCAACCGAUUCCGACCGUAGCUGGCGAAGUAAAAAACACAAACGUCAAUCGACGAUUGUUUUUAAGCACGACACGGCGACACGGCAGCCCGGAGUGAGUGGAGGGGGAGAUAGAGCAGAGAGCAGCAGCAGAGUUUAGUUAAUAGUUUUUAGCACACACCACACUCAGCGCACACACAGUUCCGUGGCAGCGUCCAGGUUCUGCUCUGCUCGAGAGUGUUUGUGUUGUUGGAGAGAAGUGCACGAAAAGUGUUUGCUCGGGUGCUGUGCUGGCGCUGCGGAGCGCUGCUUUGCUUAGCUUUUGCUUUCGAAGACCCAGAGAAGAAUGAGUGGAAACAUUUUUUGUAUUUAAGUUUUUAAGAGAGAGUGCCGUGCCGCAGUCGCUGUCGCUGUCGCUGUCGAGGGCUUGAGUGGCGUGUUUGGAGAGUGCUGCCGCCGAUUCUUGACUGCGCAGCCGACACUUGGUAUAACAUGCUGCUGGAAUACCUUAACAUAGAUAACAGGGUGGACGAAGUUUAACAACAGUGUCGAAGGAAAUUGUCGGGGGCUGUGCUAUUGAGUGAAACGCCAGCGUAGGCCGCAGGCCGCAGCCAGCCCCAAAGCGUCGCGGGAGAACGCCAGCAAAAAGAGAGUGUAGCGCAGGAGAGCGGCGCCGGCGCACUCUCUUUGAGUGCCUAUGCAGCGCUUGACUCAUCGCUCGAGUGCGAAACGUUUGCCAUCUCACACAACGUUUGCUAUUUAUUAUUGUUUUUAUGCCAAACAAAUGUGUGCUCCGCACCGUUCCGCUCUGGUUUUUCUCCAUCAGCUGGCUCUUCCUCUCUGUGCUGUCUCUCUUCGACAGCCGGAAGAGGCCACUAAAACUCAAGUGCGAGUGCGAGUGUGAGUGAGAUUGAAAGCAGCGGCGAGUAGGUACGUAGGCCUCUAAUCUGGCAAACGGUAAACGUUGAACCCUGCAGGCCCACAGCUGAUAGCCCGAUAACGGGAAUGGAGCGACGUGCACUGCUUGCCGGGCUGUUCCCGUCCGUCCAGAGGAGAUACCACAGAGGCGCCUGAGAGUAUGCCAUCGGAGUGGAAUCCCCCAUAAAAAAUGAGAAGGAAAGCAAAGGAGAUCCAUUCAUAUUCAUCUCCAUUGCUUUUCCAAUUUCCCGUUUCGAUGUAGGGGGUGCGGUCUGGUCUUUAUUUCAAAUUUCACAAAUAUAUGAGACCUGCCAGUGGGACGACAUUCGCUAAUUUCGUCAUAAAACUAGAGCCAUUGCGUGAUGGGCAUAAAAAGGGACACAAACACACAGCACACAGAUACAGCCACACAAUCAAGGACGCAAUAGGCUGGCAGGACGAACGAGGGAAACAAGAGAGAGCGAGUGAGAGAGUGAAUAGAUACAAGGCUCGACGGCACGAGAGCACUUUUACGGUUCGCCUUGGAAACGAAAUAAAACUGUAUAUGUGUAUAGGUUCGUGUGUGUGUGUGUAUCUUUCAACUGCAACACAAUUUACACAACUUUCUGAUGAAAUCUCACGAGCCUCUUCGUUAAAUGCUUCGUCAUGAGCUGGAGGCGAUUCCCCCACCCCACCCCACCCAUUCGCCACUCAAAAAUGUCAGAAUCUUCCAGAGGCACAAUACAGGCCCCAAACCAUCUCAAACAAAGGUGGAAAGCACGACAAACAGAAUAGAAUGGAAAUAAAUUCCAAAUCUUUAUGCAGUUUCUGGCUCCCGUGUCGACAGAAAUAAAUUCGAAUUAUAUUCGGGGGAAAGAAUGUUUGCUACACAGCGAAAAUGAACAAUAAAUAAACGGAGGCAGGCAGGGUGGUGCCAUUUAAUGUCCAAAAUGCUUGAGAGAAUAUGCAAAAAUCCGCACCGAACCGACAAGAACGGAGCAGAGCAGUAUCGGGGCAGUAUCUGGCGAGAUGCUACCGAAAAUUGUGAUAAAAAAUCGAUCCAUUAGCGGCUCUUUAAUGAUUCCACAACAAUAUCGACGAGUCGAAUAUUAUUCAUUUCGAAUUUCUGGACAAGAUCAUCGCAGUCCAGUUAUGGCCUCCUGUCAUCGCUUGGCAUUUCCCGUGUCCCAGAGCCCGCAAAACAUUCGCGGAAAAAUCAAGUAAAAAUAAACACAAAGUGUGCCAAAAGCAAACAAAACAAAUAAACGAAAAGAAGCUAAGGAAAACCAGAAGACAUCUUCUUCGCUGGAAGGAAUUUUUCACCCCCUUUUCGAUGGAUGCUAUUUGUGGCUGCUGCCACGGGAGAGUGCCUGCCACCGCAGACUGACGCUGACGCUGAAAUGCUGCUGCAAUUCUCCGUCUCUCCGGACCACAAGACCACCAGACAAAUCAACUGUCGUCGGACUUCAAUCACAUUAAAAUGCACGCUCCAGAGCCUCGAAAAGGGCAAGGGAAAGGGAAGGGAGACCCGAGAAUAUGUAGUACAUAUAUGACCCAAAUAAAUCGGGCCGAUGAUUGCAGGGCGUACAGAUAAACCGGUCUACUAUAUAGUACUCGCCUUCCGAGACAGAGGUUGGCGUUCCAGUACGAGUACGGGUAUUAUGUGCAAUUUCAAUUAUCAGCGGGAUCUCCCCCACCCCUCGCAAAGAUCGCAAACUGCCGCAUCAUGCUCAAUCGUCACCAGACAAGCCCCCAAAUCGUUUGUGUUCCUAAACGGUAGCAUACUACUCCACACACACACACACACACCCACGCCUAAGAAUGACUCAAGAACGGUGACACAGGAAUAUGAUAUUGACUGGGGGAAUGGUGGAAUGGAAAGUUCUUCCUUAUCGGAAAGGGAACUAAAGUUCGAAUUACUAUAAAUACAACUUGGGCGCGCUCCCUCUCUCUCUCUCUCCAUCUUUCUUAAGUGCAGUCUGCACUUGCUCUCUCUGAGUGGAAAGUUCGAGUUCUCUCUCUCUCUCGCUCUCUUGGCAGACAAUCGCUUGUAGAUCGAAUCGCUUGGCUCGCUUGACAGCAA